rnacentral:rRNA from 1 species
UGGGGAAUUUUGGACAAUGGGCGAAAGCCUGAUCCAGCAAUGCCGCGUGUGUGAAGAAGGCCUUCGGGUUGUAAAGCACUUUUGUCCGGAAAGAAAUCCUUGGCUCUAAUACAGUCGGGGGAUGACGGUACCGGAAGAAUAGGCACCGGCUAACUACGUGCCAGCAGCCGCGGUAAUACGUAGGGUGCAAGCGUUAAUCGGAAUUACUGGGCGUAAAGCGUGCGCAGGCGGUUUGCUAAGACCGAUGUGAAAUCCCCGGGCUCAACCUGGGAACUGCAUUGGUGACUGGCAGGCUAGAGUAUGGCAGAGGGGGGUAGAAUUCCACGUGUAGCAGUGAAAUGCGUAGAGAUGUGGAGGAAUACCGAUGGCGAAGGCAGCCCCCUGGGCCAAUACUGACGCUCAUGCACGAAAGCGUGGGGAGCAAACAGGAUUAGAUACCCUGGGUAGUCCACGCCCUAAAACGAUGUCAACUAGUUGUUGGGGAUUCAUUUCCUUAGUAACGUAGCUAACGCGUGAAGUUGACCGCCUGGGGAGUACGGUCGCAAGAUUAAAACUU